UUUAUUGGAGAGUUUGAUCCUGGCUCAGGAUGAACGCUGGCGGCGUGCCUAAUACAUGCAAGUCGAGCGAAUGGAUUAAGAGCUUGCUCUUAUGAAGUUAGCGGCGGACGGGUGAGUAACACGUGGGCAACCUGCCCAUAAGACUGGGAUAACUCCGGGAAACCGGGGCUAAUACCGGAUAACAUUUUGAACYGCAUGGUUCGAAAUUGAAAGGCGGCUUCGGCUGUCACUUAUGGAUGGACCCGCGUCGCAUUAGCUAGUUGGUGAGGUAACGGCUCACCAAGGCAACGAUGCGUAGCCGACCUGAGAGGGUGAUCGGCCACACUGGGACUGAGACACGGCCCAGACUCCUACGGGAGGC
rnacentral:rRNA from 1 species